CAAAAAUCCAAACGAACAGGACAGAGAUGCUAAUGUUUUAGCAGCUAACGUUAGCCAAAACACAGAUGCCUCGCACAGCUUCCACACGAAGAAGAAGUAAGACACCACCCUCCAGACUCUUUACGAGCAGGACCAAACCCAAACAGAAAAACCCGUCGACUUCAGGAUGAGGGAACCAGAAAUUAAUCCGAACGCCACUUCAACGCCUCGUCAUUCCUCAGCAGAGAGGACCGGACCAGCAGCUCGACACGAGCCAGGCUAAACGAACCCGAGCGCUCCCAACUACGGCUCGGACAAUAACUGUGGCAAGAAGGUUGAGCCCUUUAACCUGGAUUCCCCGGGCAUCUAUCUGUCAUCCAACAGAGCGUAGCACAUCGGACAGAAGGG